rnacentral:rRNA from 1 species
UACGUAGGUCCCGAGCGUUGUCCGGAUUUAUUGGGCGUAAAGCGAGCGCAGGUGGUUUAUUAAGUCUGGUGUAAAAGGCAGUGGCUCAACCAUUGUAUGCAUUGGAAACUGGUAGACUUGAGUGCAGGAGAGGAGAGUGGAAUUCCAUGUGUAGCGGUGAAAUGCGUAGAUAUCGGGAGGAAGGCCGGUGGCGAAGGCGGCCCUCUGGGCCUGUAACUGACACUGAGGCUCGAAAGCGUGGGUAGCAAACAGG